rnacentral:rRNA from 1 species
UACGGAGGGUGCGAGCGUUGUUCGGAAUCACUGGGCGUAAAGCGCGUGUAGGCGGCCCAUUAAGUCUGAUGUGAAAGCCCGGGGCUCACCCCCGGAAGUGCAUUGGAAACUGAUGGACUCGAGUCCCGGAGAGGAGAGUGGAAUUCCUGGUGUAGCGGUGAAAUGCGUAGAUAUAGGGAGGAACACCGAUGGCGUAGGCAGAUAACUGGCUCAUUCCUGACACUCAGGCACGAAAGCGUGGGGAGCAAACGGG